rnacentral:rRNA from 1 species
CCUACGGGAGGCAGCAGUGAGGAAUAUUGGUCAAUGGUCGGGAGACUGAACCAGCCAAGCCGCGUGAGGGAGGAAGGUACAGAGUAUCGUAAACCUCUUUUGUCAGGGAACAAAGGCGGGGACGUGUCCCCGGAUGAGUGUACCUGAAGAAAAAGCAUCGGCUAACUCCGUGCCAGCAGCCGCGGUAAUACGGAGGAUGCGAGCGUUAUCCGGAUUUAUGGGGUUUAAAGGGUGCGCGGGCGGUCUGUUAAGUUAGCGGUCAAAGCCCGGGGCUCAACCCCGGCCCGCCGUUGAAACUGGCAGGCUCGAGUUGGGGAGAGGUAUGCGGAAUGCGCGGUGUAGCGGUGAAAUGCGUAGAGAUCGCGCAGAACUCCGAUUGCGAAGGCAGCAUGCCGGCUCCACACUGACGCUGAGGCACGAAAGCGUGGGUAUCGAACAGGAUUAGAUACCCCAGUAGUC